CCUGAGUUUCCUGUCGGCAGCUGGUCCUUAAAAACCAAUGUAGUCAUCUACUGCUCUUCUUUGUUGCAGUGCAGUCAUUUAGGAUUAGAGUAGGACUGUGUUACUAUAGCACCAUACACCUUUUAAGGAGCAAUACCCAAGCUAACAACGGUAGGAGGUCUUCUCCUCGGCCGCCUUACCAUGAUUGAAGACGCAUGCAGGGUGAAGCUGCUAAGGAUGUGGAAAUGGAUUUGUAUGACAUGCCACGAGGGUCAAAGAACAUGCAUUUUCUGAAGUAUAUCAUGUAUUACUUCCUUGAAGACGGCCACAGAUUGCUGUGCAAGUAGUAGUACUUAACUAAAGGUUUAUAAAAUCCCAUGGAAUAUGAGAGGUCGCGCAGUUUGUCCACCGUUCUGCCGGGGAUGAUCGCGUUGAAUGCGGAACUAAAGUCCGCAAACGGCACCCCUCACAUACGAGCCGGGGCUCUCCAGGUGAGAGCCUCAGCUUCAGAGUAAUACGAGGCGCCCGGCAACAGCAGCUGGGAGCUCCGUGGAAACCAUCGUGUUCCUGUGUGAAGCUAUUGAGCGAUCUGCUGAAAUGGAGCCCAGUACCGCUGAUGGCAACCAGGACCUGGUCGUGUUCUGGGAGGAGAUCCCCCCAGUGCAAAGACUCAAAUGUCAGGUCCUGCAGGAUGUGAAGCCCGUCCUCAGACUGACGGCCAACAGCUACCACACGCCAGCGGCCAGCAGCGAUCACCAAAGGAUUCACGCAACGCUCCUGCAGGUGAUGGCCAGCAGCAGUCGCCUGGAGCAGAAGUUGGACCGCAGCCUUUGGACCCUGAAGGUUUUUAUGGUCCUGGCCAUGGUCUUGACAGCUUUGUGGGGCUUGACUCUGUACAUCCACUAUUCAGCUGGCUAUUUUAACCGCUGGAUCACGGCUAAAAACUGAGGCAGCAAAGUCUGUCUGUGUGUGUUUGACCUGCAACAUAAAUUCUGGACUCCUGGAAGUUUACAUCUUUUUUACAUUGUGAUGUUUAUGUGGGUCUACUGUAUAUGGAUGCAGCUAUACUCCAGAGGCAUAGAUAAUGCACGCACACUUGUGGAAACUAAUUUCCCUCCUGGGGACAAUAAAGUCUUUCUCAUCUAUCCAUCUCGUUCAUAAAUUCCAUAACCCGGGAAAAUAACUUCUGGACAUUGCAUCGCUGUCUGGUCUCCUAUCACGUGUAAUAGUUAGGAUUUUGAUCAGUGUCAAGUCUUCCUUCAAACCAAUUUGGAUUCAUUGGACGUCCUUAAACGAGUUCUUGAAAGAAGUCGAAGUGCUUAAAUUUGACAUGCAGUUGUUGUUUUUUGGACCCCUGCUUCAAGGUGGGGGCGAAGAAUCAAAGAGCCGGUAAGUUUGGCUUCCCGUACAUGCUCUAUAAUACUAUACUAUAAUACUACUAUUGUUGGGUUUAUUUCUUUAAGAAUGAUGCUUUUGCAGAAAUGAAUGCUUUUCAUUUAGAACCAUUGUUAGAGAUCAUCACACAACUAUUACCGGUAGUAAUGUUUAUGAUGGGUAUAAACUUGUGGUAAUAUAUGGUAUUUCCAUAGCUUAAUAAUGUGUGUAGGUGUGAUCGUUCUACAUUUUAGAUGAGAUAUAGGGAAGAGUAAGAACGGAUAUACUGUAUUUAUUGCUAAAUAUGGAUGUGAUCUGAAGUGAUUUGGAGUUUUUGUCUUCAUAUUUUAGGAGAAGAAGAAGCCAGCAUUUGAGCUAUGACAGCGCUCAUUUCUACCACUGUGAUUGGUAGUGCUGCUGCAUUUAUCAUUGCAACUGGAUUUGUCCUUGGGCUUAUCCUGAGAAAGAAUUAUUGCAGUACAUCAUACUGUACCCUGCCAGCAGCAGUUGCACCAGUAAUGGGUAGAUGGAGAAUGUGGUUAGUUCUGCUCCUGCAGCUAACUUUGUAUGUCUUCGACACCAAAGAGACUGGGAAGCAACUGCAGAAAACCAUCGGUAGAGAACCAGAUGUUACUCCGAUAUGUUCCAAUACAACACUGAGUCCCAUCGUCUUUAUAGUGUGUAAGAUCAGAACAGAGACGAGCGGCGGAGGAGAGUGCAGUCUGCUGUAUCGAGAUGGAGAGGACUUUAAGAACGAAUGUGACUCCAGAUUCACUCUUAUGAUGGUGAAUCAGACUGUAUUUCUCCACCUGUCUGGUUUGACACCAGUGGAUAGUGGGAACCACACCUGUCAGUGUUCACAUCCUGGUGGAACAGAUAUUCUCCAUCUUAACAUCACUGUGGAAGCGGAUGAAGAUGCCGGCAGUUCUACAGACAUGCCUUUCCUCAAUGCUGUAAUUAUUGGUGUAAUUAUAUUCAUCACGAUAACUGGAGUUAUCCUCGGCUGUAUCCACGGAAGAAAUCACCACAGAAGACGAUCAGAAGCGCUGACAAGUCAUGCAAACACGG